rnacentral:rRNA from 1 species
UACGUAGGUGACAAGCGUUGUCCGGAUUUACUGGGCGUAAAGAGCGCGCAGGCGGUCGUUCAAGUCGAGUGUGAAAGCCCCCGGCUCAACUGGGGAGGGUCACUCGAUACUGAUCGACUCGAAGGCAGGAGAGGGUAGUGGAAUUCCCGGUGUAGAGGUGAAAUUCGUAGAUAUCGGGAGGAACACCGGUGGCGAAGGCGGCGACCUGGGUGGAUACUGACGCUGAGGCGCGAAAGCGUGGGGAGCAAACAGG